UACGAAGGGUGCAAGCGUUACUCGGAAUUACUGGGCGUAAAGCGUGCGUAGGUGGUUGUUUAAGUCUGUUGUGAAAGCCCUGGGCUCAACCUGGGAAUUGCAGUGGAUACUGGGCGACUAGAGUGUGGUAGAGGGUAGUGGAAUUCCCGGUGUAGCAGUGAAAUGCGUAGAGAUCGGGAGGAACAUCCAUGGCAAAGGCAGCUACCUGGACCAACACUGACACUGAGGCACGAAAGCGUGGGGAGCAAACAGG
rnacentral:rRNA from 1 species